rnacentral:tRNA from 1 species
GGGCCUGUAGCUCAUCUGGUAGAGCGCUGCAUUCGCAUUGCAGAGGUGGUCGGUUCGAGUCCGUUGCAGAGGUGGUCGGUUCGAGUCCGAUCAGGUCCA